rnacentral:rRNA from 1 species
GGGUGACUGCGUACCUUUUGUAUAAUGGGUCAGCGACUUAUAUUCUGUAGCAAGGUUAACCGAAUAGGGGAGCCGCAGGGAAACCGAGUCUUAACUGGGCGUUAAGUUGCAGGGUAUAGACCCGAAACCCGGUGAUCUAGCCAUGGGCAGGUUGAAGGUUGGGUAACACUAACUGGAGGACCGAACCGACUAAUGUUGAAAAAUUAGCGGAUGACUUGUGGCUGGGGGUGAAAGGCCAAUCAAACCGGGAGAUAGCUGGUUCUCCCCGAAAGCUAUUUAGGUAGCGCCUCGUGAAUUCAUCUUCGGGGGUAGAGCACUGUUUCGGCUAGGGGGUCAUCCCGACUUACCAACCCGAUGCAAACUACGAAUACCGAAGAAUGUUAUCACGGGAGACACACGGCGGGUGCUAACGUCCGUCGUGAAGAGGGAAACAACCCAGACCGCCAGCUAAGGUCCCAAAGUCAUGGUUAAGUGGGAAACGAUGUGGGAAGGCCCAGACAGCCAGGAUGUUGGCUUAGAAGCAGCCAUCAUUUAAAGAAAGCGUAAUAGCUCACUGGUCGAGUCGGCCUGCGCGGAAGAUGUAACGGGGCUAAACCAUGCACCGAAGCUGCGGCAGCGACACUAUGUGUUGUUGGGUAGGGGAGCGUUCUGUAAGCCGUUGAAGGUGGCCUGUGAGGGUUGCUGGAGGUAUCAGAAGUGCGAAUGCUGACAUAAGUAACGAUAAUGCGGGUGAAAAACCCGCACGCCGGAAGACCAAGGGUUCCUGUCCAACGUUAAUCGGGGCAGGGUGAGUCGACCCCUAAGGCGAGGCCGAAAGGCGUAGUCGAUGGGAAACAGGUUAAUAUUCCUGUACUUGGUGUUACUGCGAAGGGGGGACGGAGAAGGCUAUGUUGGCCGGGCGACGGUUGUCCCGGUUUAAGCAUGUAGGCGGAUGUUCCAGGUAAAUCCGGAGCGUCACUAACGCUGAGGUGUGAUGACGAGGCACUACGGUGCUGAAGUGACAAAUGCCCUGCUUCCAGGAAAAGCCUCUAAGCAUCAGGUAACAUCAAAUCGUACCCCAAACCGACACAGGUGGUCAGGUAGAGAAUACCAAGGCGCUUGAGAGAACUCGGGUGAAGGAACUAGGCAAAAUGGUGCCGUAACUUCGGGAGAAGGCACGCUGAUGGUA